CAAUUUUACAGCGAUCUUACUUUCAUAACAAUGGAGUUGAUAUAGGCAAUGUUACAUUGCAAUAUUGUGUUAUUUCACUAUUUAAUGCUACGGAAGAACUACUUUAAUACUUUUAUCCCACUUCGGACCGUCGGUGGUCAACUAGCCACCAGCUGCCACAGAUCCAGCGCCUCAAAACGGCCUCGCCGCCAAUCACUUGUCUGAACGGCACUAAGUUGCGCUUGAUUUAUGUCUCUUGCAGCCCUGUUUGCAGGUUAAGACCGGGACAUUUGAAUAUUUCACGGCAUGCGACUAGUUUAAACACCUAAGCUACAUACCAAGCUAGCAUGGGAUCCAAUCAGCCAUUUUAAAGUAAUUACACCAGCAAUACUAAUAUUACAGCCUUUUCAUGUUAUGGGAAAGGGCAUAGUGCUGUUGUCAAAGGCCAACAUUGCAAGGAAAACAUGACACUCGGAGGAAUUCGAGCAUGGACGGCCUCCAAGCGUCAGAGUUUGAGGUUCAGCUCAAGCCUCAUGUUUGCCAGCACUUCGAUCCAGAAACCCCAGCACAGUCUGACAGGCUGCUCUAGCGAUUGGGCCGAAAUUACCACUACAUAAGUGUGCAAAUAAACAGCAUGAAGAGCAGAAACUAUCCACAAUGCUACUGUACCUCUCCAGCCAGAGGGAUGUCAGAACAUUGCUGACCAUCACCCCCACUUCAACUCAGUCGGUGCCUUUAUUGCUUCCUGAAAUUACCUGGAAAUGGGAGCUAUACAUCAGAUUGACCAGGGAACCAAGCCUCGACUUCACCUGGUCCAACCAGGAAACAGGUCUGGUUGAAGAAGGCAAUUCUCCCUCUCCAGUAGAACCAAUGUAGAAUGUUUAUAUAAUAGGUCACUGAUCUAUCAUGUCUUGUGGUAUAGAGUCACUCUUCAUUGAAGAGCUCAAUGGGUUACGCUUGCAGUGUGUACAAAAGCGAUGAGAGAGGGCACAAUGUCAUCAAAAUCUAAAAAAAGCAAGGCUGAUUUAUCUCAUCUGAAAAUCAAAACAGUUCUUGAGCCAGAGACAGUGAUGUCCAGUUCUAAAACAGCUGUCACCUCACCAUGACAGUCACAUAUGCAGUUUAUUUUGGUGUAGUUUAAAUGCAACAGAACAGGUCUGUGACAGUAACCCUUCUAUGUCUACGUUAGGUUAAACAUAAACGCUUACAUUCAUAUCCUUAAUAGCUUGCCCGUAAACAAACGGAUUUGUUCAGAAUGCAAAAAACUGUACGGACUAUGGAUAUUUUAGAAGUUCUAAUAUGCAUGACAGAAUUGCAUAAUGUCUGCCAAUGAGAAAAGCAUAGGGAAGAUAGAAUAGAAAGGACAAGCCGCUACAAGAAGACUAACUAUUAGAAACGCUAUAAGAGGAUGGGCUUCGGGAUGGAGGACAGAUGGGGUAGGGAGAAGUCAGUUUGGGGCCGGGGAGGGAUUUGGGGUGGAAGUUGCCCCCUUCAGUUAAAGGGACACCUCCCUUUGGCAGUGGAACAGCACUCUUAGUAGUCAACGCAGCGCAGAGGGUGAGGGUGUACACAAUGCUCUUGUCGGACAAGAAGGCCAUUUCAGUGUCAAGAUGAGAUGAAGGCAUUCUAGUAGGCAGCCAGGUCACAGUGUUAGAGCUAAAAAACUCAGAGAGAGAUGAUGGACGUAGUUUUUCUACACUGUCUCCACUGGGCUGGGAUCAUGGGAUUCUGAGGUGUAAAGAAGAGAAUUCAUUAAGUAAAAGUUUAUUUGAAUGGUGACUUUUCACGUCACCAUUCAGCCGCAGCCUUACCACCAUCUGUCUGUUGUAGCGAGGUGAGGCGAGUGUGAGAAUGGAACUGGCUGGUGUACAUGGUUGUUAUAGGUUUAAUACUGUACAUGUGACGACACUGAGGAGGGGAGAAGAAAGCUUUGAAAACUCAUACUGUGGUGUUGCCUUCAACUGCAAGGUCAAAUAAUAAAUGAUCGACUUCUGAUAACUUAACCACCUCCAAAGAGAAACAAUACAUUUUUAAAGAUUUCACUGCAAUUUUUAACACAUUAUGUUAAAAAAACAGUAAAUAAUGAUUUAAAUCAUUUCUCCUUAUACAAUGAUUUUUCUCCAAACCUGAAACAAUUACUUUGGCUUCUAUUUAUAAUUUCCAUCUGGAUUUGUUCAUGUUUUAAAUCUGUGUAGGAUCAGCAAGUAGGAAAAUACAUGUUCUUAGAUAACUUUGAAAUGGAGUAAAUUUGUAAAGAUGUACAGAUAGUCCUCUAAGCUUUAAGAAGAGCUCUGAUGUUUCAUUCAUAUUCUUUCAUAUCUUACCUGAAAGUGAUGGCGCAUCCUCAUCUCGCAACACUGCAUUUUCAGAGACCUGCUGUGCAUUGGUGACCUCUUGAUCUUUCUCCUCGUCUUUUUGAGUAGAAGGCUGAGGAUCAUCCUCCUGUUCGUCUUUGCCCUCCCCCUCUGCCUCCCCAGAGUCUGUACUUCUUAUGCUGAGGCGCCUCACGCGAUACAUAAUAUCCACAUCCCUCAUCCGGGACAUGCGCUCAACUGCCACCCGACCUGGAGAAAUAGCCAGCUUGUUCUGCAAUGCUUCAAUUCGAUUGGAGGCGCCUCUGCUCCUCCUCUCCCCCUCCAGGCUUAGAGACAGCCUGCGGUCUAGGUGUGGGGGGACUGAAAGUGGCAGUCUGUCUGGAGGAAACUCUGGCAACCCUGGGUGGUCUCUCCCCAGAUGAGUCCGUAGACCGAGUCUAUGCUCUGGGACAGUAAAUGGCUUCUUCUCUUGCUCUUGCUUGUCGUCGUGAGACAUUGAACUGUCCUGUACCUCACCUACCUGUUUGACUUCAGCUGUCACCUUGUCUACACUGCCUUCAGAUGUUUCUCCUGUAACGAUUUCUUUCUUUGCUAAUUCUGUUUCAUCAGAUAUGUUUUCACUAUCACUUGGUUUCUCUGAGAUUUGGGGGGCUGCAGACACGUCAGUUGCUAAUGUUGUGGAUGCACUGUCUUCUGUCACACCAGUCGCUGGUUGGCCAUCAUCAGCAUUUACUGCACAAACAUUGUUCAAGAUUUCUGCUUGAGCAUCCUCUCUUCUUUCACCCCCACCCACAUCUUCCCCUGUCAUUGAAUGCUGCUCCUUCGACUCAGCACCCAGGUCAGAACCUGG